AUUGAACGCUGGCGGCAGGCCUAACACAUGCAAGUCGAGCGGAUGAAGGGAGCUUGCUCCUGGAUUCAGCGGCGGACGGGUGAGUAAUGCCUAGGAAUCUGCCUGGUAGUGGGGGAUAACGUCCGGAAACGGGCGCUAAUACCGCAUACGUCCUGAGGGAGAAAGUGGGGGAUCUUCGGACCUCACGCUAUCAGAUGAGCCUAGGUCGGAUUAGCUAGUUGGUGGGGUAAAGGCCUACCAAGGCGACGAUCCGUAACUGGUCUGAGAGGACGAUCAGUCACACUGGAACUGAGACACGGUCCAGACUCCUACGGGAGGCAGCAGUGGGGAAUAUUGGACAUUGGGCGAAAGCCUGAUCCAGCCAUGCCGCGUGUGUGAAGAAGGUCUUCGGAUUGUAAAGCACUUUAAGUUGGGAGGAAGGGCAGUAAGUUAAUACCUUGCUGUUUUGACGUUACCAACAGAAUAAGCACCGGCUAACUUCGUG
rnacentral:rRNA from 1 species